ACUUUUAUAUAGACGGGUUUUUGGAAACUGAGGUAGUAUCUACAUCAGAAAAACACCUUAUCCUGGGUGACCUGGACAGAACAAUGCAAUUUAGACGGAGGAAAUGAUUUUUCUUUGGGACACUAUUGGAUUUCCUUCCAGAAGACUCCAGGAGCACUUAAUUAUCUGCCAAACAAGUUGAAUCAUGUCUCCAAGCUCAGUUUGAUUCUAGCUGAGCCCACUAAGCAAUAGGCCCCAUGGGGCUUGCUUCACUGUUUGCAUUUGCAUUGUUUCCUUCUGGUAACCAGGCUUUCAGACUUGCUCUGUCGGAAGGAAGGCUGUAGCAGGUUAUCUUCAGGAACAGCAUCCUUCGCAGCACCGAGUGUGGACCUGGUGAAGGGAAAUGAAGGAAA